CUUAAAAAUAUAUAACAAUUCAUAAUGAUUAAAAAAUUUUACCUAGCAAUACUAUAUUUCACAAUAAUUUUAAACAUAUUUAUGGUUAAAAGUGAAGAAAUUUCCUCGAACGAAUUAACUUCAAAACAAAAUGAAUUAUUCCAUGAUGUAUUUGAGAUUCAACUAGAACUACAACAUUUAAAAACAUCGGUGGAAAUUUUAAAUAAAAGACAUUCGCUGCAACUCGAUGACUUAAAAGGCGUGGUUUCCACCUGUCAUGAAUAUUUCACUGCACCGGCAUCCCCACAAUACAACGAAGAUGAAUGUGAUGAAACUCUAGUCAAUGAAACUCUAACAAAAUAUGCUCAGUUUAAUAACGAACUUUUAACAAAAUUGACAGAAAGUCAUAAAAAUCAAACCGAACGUUUGGAUGCAAUUAUGAAAAUUGAAAUCAUAAACAAAGGGUGCCACGAUUUAGAUCAUGAAGGUACUACAACAUCUUCUGAUACGCUAUUGUCUCGCAUUGACGAUAAGCUAAACAAAUUUGAGCAUCAACUAAGCCAGUUUGAAACUUUGGAGACAAAAUUAUCAUUGCAGCAAAAAAAGUUUGAAAAUUUAAAUGAAAAUCAAUUGAAAAUGUUAAUGGAAAUUAAAGAGAAAUUAUUGCAAAAUGAACAAAAAUUUGUAAAAUAUCAAAAAGAAUUGCCCGAUAUGAAUAACUUUUCAAAUAAAAUAAGUAAUUUAGCGAAUUGGAGACACUGGAGACACAGACAACAUGCACCCAGGCAUUAAGAAUUCCCAAAUAUUUGUUAUUGUAACUUUAACAUGAAAAUUGUAACAGUUUUUAUAUUUUUGGUUAAUUUUUUAUACUAUGUAAGUCUUAAGUGUAGAACGUGUCUGCGGAAUAAAUGUUUUGAAAAUUG